rnacentral:ncRNA from 2 species
GCCACGCGGUACGUUCCCGAUGAUAUUGACGAUGACAUGACGGAAGCCGGUGGAAUUCCGGCGCGGUCGCGCCACUGUGAGCCCGGACCGGUCCCGUACGGGGCCGCCGGACGAGCCAGACCCGUCCUGUCGUGACGACCCAC